AGAGUUUGAUCCUGGCUCAGGACGAACGCUGACGGCGUGCUUUAGACAUGCAAGUCGAACGCGAAAGCCCUUUUAGGGUGAGUAGAGUGGCGAACGGGUGAGUAACACGUGGGUAACCUGCCCCUCGCAGGGGGACAACCGGGGGAAACCCCGGCUAAUACCCCCUACGCUUGCCGGACCGCAUGAUCCGGCAAGGAAAGGUAGCUUCGGCCAUCCGGCGAGGGAUGGGCCCGCGGUGCAUUAGCUAGUUGGUGGGGUAACGGCCCACCAAGGCGACGAUGCAUAGCUGGUCUGAGAGGAUGAUCAGCCACACUGGGACUGAGACACGGCCCAGACUCCUACGGGAGGCAGCAGUCGGGAAUCUUGCGCAAUGGGCGAAAGCCUGACGCAGCAACGCCGUGUGGGCGACGAAGGCCUUCGGGUCGUAAAGCCCUGUUGUUGGGGACGAAGGGCGAAGGGUUAAUAGCCCCUAGCCUGACGGUACCCUUCGAGGAAGCCCCGGCUAACUACGUGCCAGCAGCCGCGGUAAUACGUAGGGGGCGAGCGUUGUCCGGAAUCAUUGGGCGUAAAGAGCGUGUAGGCGGCUCGGUAAGUCCGCCGUGAAAACCCGGGGCUCAACCCCGGGCGUGCGGUGGAUACUGCCAGGCUAAAGGGUGGUAGAGGCGAGUGGAAUUCCCGGUGUAGCGGUGAAAUGCGCAGAUAUCGGGAGGAACACCAGUAGCGAAGGCGGCUCGCUGGGCCAUUCCUGACGCUGAGACGCGAAAGCUAGGGGAGCGAUCCGGAUUAGAUACCCCUGUAGUCC
rnacentral:rRNA from 1 species